ACGUGGCAUACGGCUCAGUAACACGUAGUCAACAUGCCCAGGGGACGUGGAUAACCUCGGGAAACUGAGGAUAAACCGCGAUAGGCCAUGAUUUCUGGAAUGGUUCAUGGCCGAAAUCUAUAUGGCCCCUGGAUUGGACUGCGGCCGAUCAGGCUGUUGGUGAGGUAAUGGCCCACCAAACCUGUAACCGGUACGGGCUCUGAGAGGAGGAGCCCGGAGAUGGGCACUGAGACAAGGGCCCAGGCCCUAUGGGGCGCAGCAGGCGCGAAAUCUCUGCAAUAGGCGAAAGCUUGACAGGGUUACUCUGAGUGGUUCCCGUUAAGGGGAUCUUUUGGCACCUUUAAAAAUGGUGCAGAAUAAGGGGUGGGCAGGUCUGGUGUCAGCCGCCGCGGUAAUACCAGCACCCCGAGUGGUCGGGACGAUUAUUGGGCCUAAAGCAUCCGUAGCCGGUACUGCAAGUCUUCCGUUAAAUCCACCUGCUUAACAGUUGGGCUGCGGGGGAUACUACAGCGCUAGGAGGCGGGAGAGGCAAGCGGUACUCAAUGGGUAGGGGUAAAAUCCGCUGAUCCAUUGAAGACCACCAGUGGCGAAGGCGGCUUGCCAGAACGCGCUCGACGGUGA
rnacentral:rRNA from 1 species